CUCUCUCAUUCUCUCACUCUCUCUCUCUCUCUCUCUCUCCCUCUCUCUCUCCCUCCCGAGAGUUCAGAAAAACCAGAAGGGCAGCCACCUUCCAAGCCACCCCGACCCUCCGGAACGGACCCAGCAGCACCGGCCAGCUCCCGCCAGCAACCUCAGCCCGUCCGCCGCCCCUGCUGGAGCCGCUGGAAACUGCUGGAAAACGCAGCAGUUUUGGCCGAUUUUCCAACCUCAGUUUCUCCCUCAUCCGGACACCAAAUCAGUCGUGUGAGGCAUCAGAGGCCAAACUGAACCACAGGAGGGACCUUCAAGAGGUCCAGCUAGCUCGGACCAGCAACUUUGAGAUUUAUGAUUCAGAAAUAUCUAGCUCAGAUUUUAUCAGAAUACAGAGGAUGUCAGAUUUUAUCCAAGAUAAUUAUUUUAGACCACCAUGAAUUAUAGAAAGCAGAGUUUGAGUUUUCUAUCAAAUAAAAAGGGCAGCACAGUUAUAGAUUGAAUAAAGAUUCAGUUAUUCAUCAGAUCUUUCAGAAAUAUUAUGAUAUUUAUAUUUGAUAUUUUCUCAGCAGUUAAUAUUUUCUUAAACCACUGUGGGUACCCGGUUACAGAAACAGGUGGCCGUCAAAUAAGACGAUGUCUACGGACAUCCAGAUUGCCUUCGGUUUAUGUUGCCUUCGGAUAUGAUGAUGUCUACAGACAUCCAGUUUACUUUCAGUUACGUCAGUGCACUUGACAUUUGCCUCACGAGUUUUGGGGACGCCCGGACCAUGAGUGCCAGGAUUGCGGAUCAGGCUGACUACGGUCUCCUGAAUCCUGCCAGUUUGCGGCUCGGAUACACUAUGUGUCGCCGAGACCUGCCAGGGGAAUUGACAGAUUUACAGAGGAUUUGACAGUUUUACAGGGGUACACCUAGGCCGUAGAAGAACGAAGGAAACCACUCGGGCCAUCAUCCUAGCUUCCGACCCACCACCAAAGUGUAGGAGUUCGUUGUAACUCUUUUGUAAAUCCUGUAAAUUUGUAUAGAAAUGCUCUGAGAUCUUGUUGAACAUAAGGAACUGGUAGGAUUUUUGAGACUGUUUGACAGGUGGAAGACUUUGUGUUUGGUCAAAAUACAGGGUAGACUCUGCCGGAUUUUCGGCAGAAGUCGAAAGUAAAUUUUAAGAAAUUUGUUUAA